rnacentral:tRNA from 1 species
GCCGUGAUCGUAUAGUGGUUAGUACCUUGCGUUGUGGCCGCAAUAAGCCAGUUUCGAAUCCUGGUCACGGCA